rnacentral:misc_RNA from 1 species
GCCAUGGAUGCUGGUGAAGUUCAUGGAGGCAGCUCGGAUUACGCUAAUGUGAAAACCAACAACAACCCCGUUAAUGGCUCUGAGCCUUCGACUUCCCAUUUGUCGGAGACCCAUCAAGACCAAAACCUAGAAGACCCUGACGACGAUGGCGAAGGGGAUGAAGAAGAUGAACAGGAUGGAGAUGAGAUAGCUUUUGCUGCUCAGAG